rnacentral:lncRNA from 1 species
GGAGACAAAGUCAAAAUGCAACAUCCUUUGCCCCAUACUUUGAGAUGCUCCUCCCCGCCGAUCAAGGAGCGAGGCUGCUCGUGAUAGGCAACGCUUUAAGCCGCUAUCGUUCGGUUCGGAUAAGUCAAGUUCCUUCGGUCGCUUCGCUCAGGCGGUCUUCCCUUAUCUUCCCUAACGCUCAGAGUAGUUAUGGUUUGAGAUGAGAAAGGAGCACCGGCCGAACGCAAUGAAUGAAUAAGAAAUUGACAGCAGAGGGAAUCAAUGAUUCUUAUUCGACCGAGUUCUAGCUAGAAAGAUGUAGAUUACACACCGGAGGUUGGUAAGAACUGAGGUUUGGAACCCUAACCUAAGUAGGCCUACCAGCGAAGCAACAGGUACUUGAUCGGGCGGGGGGGCGGUUUGGUUUCAAGGCCCUCGCAGCAGGAAGAAGCAGUUGUCAUUUGAAAGUAAAGGCUCUUCUCCUGUUUUACGAAUCCUACAACUCUCUUUACUGAGCGAGACUCCAU